GACCUGGUGGUGGAGUGGUUACCAUGCCUGCUUAAACUUCCAUGAAGUAAUAAUGUGUUUCAGCAGGAGGCCCCCGUUCGAUUCGGGGUCAGGUCA